UGUCUCAAAGAUUAAGCCAUGCAUGUCUCAGUACAAGCCAAAUUAAGGUGAAACCGCGAAAGGCUCAUUAAAUCAGUUAUGGUUCCUUAGAUCGUACCCACAUUUACUUGGAUAACUGUGGUAAUUCUAGAGCUAAUACAUGCAAACAGAGCUCCGACCAGAAAUGGAAGGAGCGCUUUUAUUAGAUCAAAACCAAUCGGUGGCGGGUUCGCGCCCGUCAUCGUACAAUUUGGUGAUACUGAAUAACUUUAAGCUGAUCGCACGGUCUAGCACCGGCGACGCAUCUUUCAAAUGUCUGCCUUAUCAACUGUCGAUGGUAGGUUCUGCGCCUACCAUGGUUGUAACGGGUAACGGAGAAUCAGGGUUCGAUUCCGGAGAGGGAGCCUGAGAAACGGCUACCACAUCCAAGGAAGGCAGCAGGCGCGCAAAUUACCCACUCCCGGCACGGGGAGGUAGUGACGAAAAAUAACGAUACGGGACUCAUCCGAGGCCCCGUAAUCGGAAUGAGUACACUCUAAAUCCUUUAACGAGGAUCAAUUGGAGGGCAAGUCUGGUGCCAGCAGCCGCGGUAAUUCCAGCUCCAAUAGCGUAUAUUAAAGUUGUUGCGGUUAAAAAGCUCGUAGUCGAAUUUGUGUGCCGCGCCGCAGGUUCAUCGUUCGCGGUGUCAACUGGCGUGUUUGCGGUACGUCCGGCCGGUGGGCUUAGCUCUUGCAUUUCGUCUCUGGGUAAAACUGGUGCGGAUGUUGAGGGCGGCCCAAAUUAAUCCCGCCGCGGUGCUCUUCAUUGAGUGUCGAGGUGGGCCGGCACAUUUACUUUGAACAAAUUAGAGUGCUUAAAGCAGGCUAGAAUUUUGCCUGAAUAUGUGUGCAUGGAAUAAUAGAAUAGGACCUCGGUUCUAUUUUGUUGGUUUUCGGAACCCCGAGGUAAUGAUUAAUAGGAACGGAUGGGGGCAUUCGUAUUGCGACGUUAGAGGUGAAAUUCUUGGAUCGUCGCAAGACGG
rnacentral:rRNA from 1 species